rnacentral:misc_RNA from 1 species
GAAAUGCGAUAAGUAGUGUGAAUUGCAGAAUUCAGUGAAUCAUCGAAUCUUUGAACGCACAUUGCGCCCUUUGGUAUUCCAAAGGGCAUGCCUGUUCGAGCGUCAUUUGUACCCUCAAGGUUUGAUUGGUGUUGGGCGUCUUGUCUCUAGCUUUGCUGGAGACUCGCCUUAAAGUAAUUGGCAGCCGGCCUACGGGUUUCGGAGCGCAGCACAAGUCGCACUCUCUAUCAGUAAAGGUCUAACAUCCAUUAAGCCUUGUUUUCAACGUUUGAAAUCGGGUCAGGUAGGGAUACCCGCUGAACUUAA